GAUGAAGAACGCAGCGAAAUGCGAUAAGUAAUGUGAAUUGCGGAAUUCAGUGAAUCAUCGAAUCUUUGAACGCACAUUGCGCCCAUUAGCAUUCUAGUGGGCAUGCCUGUUCGAGCGUCAUUUCAACCCUUAAGCCCUGUUGCUUAGCGUUGGGAGCCUACAGUACUGUAGCUCCCCAAAGUUAGUGGCGGAGUCGGUUUCACACUCUAGACGUAGUAAUUUUUUCUCGUCUGUAGUUGAGCCGGUCCCCUGCCGUAAAACACCCAAUUUAUCAAGGUUGACCUCGGAUCAGGUAGGAAUACCCGCUGAACUUAAGCAUAUCAAUAAGCGGAGGA
rnacentral:misc_RNA from 1 species